UACGUAGGGGGCAAGCGUUGUCCGGAAUCAUUGGGCGUAAAGCGCGUGUAGGCGGUCCGGUAAGUCCGCUGUGAAAGUCGGGGGCUCAACCCUCGGAUGCCGGUGGAUACUGUCGGGCUUGAGUACGGAAGAGGCGAGUGGAAUUCCCGGUGUAGCGGUGAAAUGCGCAGAUAUCGGGAGGAACACCAAUGGCGAAGGCAGCUCGCUGGGACGGUACUGACGCUGAGACGCGAAAGCGUGGGGAGCAAACAGG
rnacentral:rRNA from 1 species